CGCACAUUGCACCUUGUGGUAUUCCACAAGGUAUGCCUGUUUGAGCGUCAUUUCUCCCUCAACCCCCGCGGGUUGGCGUUGAAUGGCACGAGCUCUUAGUCAGUCCAUUCGAAAAGUAUUUUUCUUGAGUUGUUAUUUUCUAAUUUAGUAGUGACAACUACACUAAAAACACAUUUUCCUCAAAUCAGGUAGGACUACCCGCUGAACUUAA
rnacentral:misc_RNA from 1 species